rnacentral:rRNA from 1 species
GACGAACGCUGGCGGCGUGCUUAACACAUGCAAGUCGAACGGAAAGGCCCUGCUUGCAGGGUGCUCGAGUGGCGAACGGGUGAGUAACACGUGGGUGAUCUGCCCCUUACUUUGGGAUAAGCCUGGGAAACUGGGUCUAAUACUGGAUAGGACCAUGCUGUAGGUGGUGUGGUGGAAAGAUUAGUUUCGGUAAGGGAUGAGCUCGCGGCCUAUCAGCUUGUUGGUGGGGUAAUGGCCUACCAAGGCGUCGACGGGUAGCCGGCCUGAGAGGGUGGACGGCCACAUUGGGACUGAGAUACGGCCCAGACUCCUACGGGAGGCAGCAGUGGGGAAUACUGCACAAUGGGCGCAAGCCUGAUGCAGCGACGCCGCGUGGGGGAUGACGGCCUUCGGGUUGUAAACUCCUUUCAGCCAUGACGAAGCCUUCGGGGGACGGUAGUGGUAGAAGAAACACCGGCUAACUACGU